rnacentral:rRNA from 1 species
AUUGAACGCUGGCGGCAGGCCUAACACAUGCAAGUCGAACGAGUGGCGGACGGGUGAGUAAUGUCUGGGAAACUGCCCGAUGGAGGGGGAUAACUACUGGAAACGGUAGCUAAUACCGCAUACCAUCGGAUGUGCCCAGAUGGGAUUAGCUAGUAGGUGGGGUAACGGCUCACCUAGGCGACGAUCCCUAGCUGGUCUGAGAGGAUGACCAGCAAACCUGGAACUGAGACACGGUCCAGAGUCCUACGGGAGGCAGCAGGGGGGAAUAUUGAACAAGGGGCGCAAGCCUGAUGCAGCCAGGCCGCGUGUAUGAAGAAGGCCUUAGGGUUGUAAAGUACUUUCGGCGAGGAGGCGUUACUCGCAGAAGAAGCACCGGCUAACUCCGUGCCAGCAGCCGCGGUAUUC